UACGUAGGUGGCGAGCGUUGUCCGGAAUUACUGGGCGUAAAGGAUGCGUAGGUGGAAAUUUAAGUCAGAUGUGAAAUACCCGAGCUUAACUUGGGCACUGCAUAUGAAACUGGAUUUCUUGAGUGCAGGAGAGGAAAGCGGAAUUCCUAGUGUAGCGGUGAAAUGCGUAGAGAUUAGGAAGAACACCAGUGGCGAAGGCGGCUUUCUGGACUGUAACUGACACUGAGGCAUGAAAGCGUGGGGAGCAAACAGG
rnacentral:rRNA from 1 species